AGGGCACCACCAGGAGUGGAGCCUGCGGCUUAAUUUGACUCAACACGGGGAAACUCACCUGGUCAGGACACUGACGGGAUUGACAGAUUGAUAGCUCUUUCUUGAUACAGUGGGUGGUGGUGCAUGGCCGUUCUUAGUUGGUGGAGUGAUUUGUCUGGUUAAUUCCGAUAACGAACGAGACUCUAGCCUAUUAAAUAGCGUUUGUCGCUCACCUUCGGUGUUAGUGACAAGACUUCUUAGAGGGACAGGCGGCGAUUCAGCCGCACGAAACAGAGCAAUAACAGGUCUGUGAUGCCCUUAGAUGUCCAGGGCCGCACGCGCGCUACACUGAAGUGAUCAGCGUGCGUCGCGUCGCCUGCUCCGACAGGAGUGGGUAACCCGGUGAGCACACUUCGUGAUUGGGAUAGGAGAUUGUAAUUAUUCUCCUUGAACGAGGAAUUCCCAGUAAGCGCGAGUCAUCAGCUCGUGUUGAUUACGUCCCUGCCCUUUGUACACACCGCCCGUCGCUACUACCGAUUG
rnacentral:rRNA from 1 species